rnacentral:rRNA from 1 species
GAUGAACGCUGGCGGCGUGCCUAAUACAUGCAAGUCGAGCGAACAGACGAGGAGCUUGCUCCUCUGACGUUAGCGGCGGACGGGUGAGUAACACGUGGAUAACCUACCUAUCAGACUGGGAUAACUUCGGGAAACCGGAGCUAAUACCGGAUAAUAUAUUGCACCGCAUGGUUCAAUAGUGAAAGACGGUUUUGCUGUCACUUAUAGAUGGAUCCGCGCCGCAUUAGCUAGUUGGUAAGGUAACGGCUUACCAAGGCAACGAUGCGUAGCCGACCUGAGAGGGUGAUCGGCCACACUGGAAGUGAGACACGGUCCAGACUCCUACGGGAGGCAGCAGUAGGGAAUCUUCCGCAAUGGGCGAAAGCCUGACGGAGCAACGCCGCGUGAGUGAUGAAGGUCUUCGGAUCGUAAAACUCUGUUAUUAGGGAAGAACAAAUGUGUAAGUAACUAUGCACGUCUUGACGGUACCUAAUCAGAAAGCCACGGCUAACUACGUG